GUAGAAACUUUGUUCAGGAAGAUUUCUCAGUAGCUCAGAGGACAGGCUGCUUUUUACACAACCUUGUAAGAGAAUGUCUGUCAAUGCUUUCAGCAGAAUUUAGAAACACAACACUUCCUAAACAGAUAUUUUGAGGCUGUGAGGUUGAACGUUUGAGAGUAUAUCAGUGUGUUUGUUUGUGGUCUUUCUGUUUCUAGGUGGAAGCUGAAUUAGUGAGGAUGACUCCUGCUCCUGUCAUCUCUAAGCUCCUCACACAUCUUUACCUGCACAUGAGGAAAAUCACUCCUGUAGAAUGCAGAUGUUCAGAGGGAGAUGAUGCCACAUCUGGUCCAGCUGAUGGAAGGUCUUGAAGUUCUCUGACUGGCCUCGACUGAAGAUGGUCGUCUCACUGGAUUUAAGGUUCAGAUGCUCAGUAACAAACUCCACCAAUGUGCCAACAGGGAAGCUUUAGGUUUAUUAAAUGUUGCUAUGAAGGUUUCGCUGUUUUUCUUUGUGAAUGCAAUGUGCUCCAACUGAAACUUGAAUUAGAACUUAGAAGUAAAUCCUUCCAUCUGAAAGGAUUUAGUUGCAUUAAUAACCUCAUAACAUUCUAAUUUUUAUUCCAGUCUUGGUUGGAAAUGGAAUCUCUGUAUUGAUUCAGGUAAAAACUGAACUUCACAGCAUGUUGGAGCAAAACAACCAGAUGAAAACUGUGAUGGUGUUGGAUUGUCAGACUGUAAUGUUGCAGCUCAAAGCAGCUUUUCUAUCUCAGUUCAUUCUGACAUUCAGCUAUGAAUCAACACAGCAGAUGGUGAUCCAUGCUGUGGAAGUCUCACAUCUCCUGAUUUAAUGGAGCUGCUUUACACUUUUUACACUGUUUAUUCACCAACACUUUAUUUAAUAAAAGUCCCAUCUAGUUUUCAUGAGGAAUGUGAUGUUUUAAUUUCUCUGUGAAUAACUGCAGUCUAAUGCAACAGCUGGAGUUGUAACAUCUGUCCUGAUAUUUAUCAUGAAAUAUUGAUCAGAAUACUUAUGGUUAGCAGUCAUCCCUGAAGUUUUACAUUAAAAUCUUUACUUGUGUUGUGAACUUUGGUAAGAAGCAGAAAUGUUAGCGUUGCCAUGGAUACAUGAGUGUUAAAUUCUGUCCAUGUUUCAUUUUGGGAAAUGCAGUCCAGUUCCAGAAUGUGGAGGAAUUUAGUCUCACAAUCACAGACAACAAAUAUUAUCUGAAAGUCGGGUUAUUGUUGUUUAUCAGCACAAUACAAAAAGAUUAAUGUUAGAAAUAUUCCAGUUAAGACCCUAGAAUAUCAUGAUUUAUGUAAAUUUACCUCAAUAAUAUGAAUGUUCAGGUUAAGAUUGUACAGUGAUAUUUAUUAUGUAAGUUUAGCUGAUUAAAGUUUAUGACUCUGCACUAAAAUAUUAUUUAAAUUGACAUCAUUAUUAUAAUAUUUAGGGUCAGACCCUACAGUAUUGAGAUUAAGAAAUCAAAUAUUCUAUAAAAUGUAAAUACACUGAACUCAUUUGGAUAUAUUUAAGUGAGACUCUACAAUAUUAUUUGACACAAAUCUAUCUAAAUCAAAAUUUUAAUCGUUUUUACUCCAAACAUUUACUGGACUGAUUUAAAUAUUAAAAUCACUCCUUUCUAAUCCUCUGCUGUACGUUCAAACCUGAGGCCUUAAAUAGAAACACACAAGUAUCUGAUUGAAGGAACUUCUGCAGAGUCCUGGUUCCAGAACAUGAUGAUAGAAUUAUAGACAAACUUUAACAAAAGCUGCCUAAGAGUUUACAGGUUUUUAUGUUAGAUUUCUUCAGUAAUUUAAUGAGCGUUAUCAGCAAUAAUCAAGUGUUCAUUUGAUUAACUUGAUUUCCUAAAACAUCCAGAAUUGGAGCGCAUAUCUUUGGCAGCUGUAAAGUUUCUGCUCCUUCAAAGUUCACAACACAGUGAAUGAAUUCCUAAAACACUCUCAAUGCUGGAGAGCGUUUGUGAUGCUGAAGCAGUGAUCAGUUUUUCUGUUUCUUCUCUGGAGAUGCACAAUGAGGGACGUCUGCAGAGACUGAGAAAGAGUCUCACCACAUCCUGACAUGAGGAAAAAGACUUUAUUGAAGACUACAAUGAGAAAAACUAUCAGACAGCAGACGGCUGCAUUCAAGUCUGUAGCUGCUGAAUUCAUGGAUGAAUCAUCUGGCACUAGAGAAGAAGACCAUCAAACAUCCACGUCAGCUGAUGGAGGUCCAAGAGUCUCACCGAACAACCAACCUCCAGAGUGAAGACCUCAAAUCUGAUUGGACGGCCUCCUAUUCAGCCACA